rnacentral:rRNA from 1 species
GCUUAGAGAGGGGUCAAUGUCCUAUCAGCUAGUUGGUAAGGUAAUGGCUUACCAAGGCUAAGACGGGUAGCCGGCCUGAGAGGGUGGUCGGCCACACUGGGACUGAGACACUGCCCAGACUCCUACGGGAGGCUGCAGUCGAGAGUCUUUCGCAAUGCCCGAAAGGGUGACGAAGCGACGCCGCGUGUGGGAAGAAGGCCUUCGGGUUGUAAACCACUGUCGGGAGUUAAGAAAUGUAAGGGUGUUAAUAGCAUCCUUACUUGACUAAGGCUCCGGAGGAAGCCACGGCUAACUCUGUGCCAGCAGCCGCGGUAAUACAGAGGCGGCAAGCGUUGUUCGGAAUUAUUGGGCGUAAAGAGCACGUAGGCGGCUUUGUAAGUCAGUUGUGAAAGCCUUCCGCUUAACGGAAGAACAGCAUCUGAUACUGCAAGGCUAGAGUGCGGAAGGG